AGUCCUUGGGAGGAACGUUUUCCCCCUUUUCUGGUUUACAAGGACCAGGGUAAUGUGGCGACGC
rnacentral:tRNA from 1 species